UACAGAGGUCUCAACCGUUGUUCGGAUUCAUUGGGCGUAAAGGGUGCGUAGGCGGUCGUGCAAGUCGGAUGUGAAAUCUCAGGGCUCAACCCUGAAACUGCAUUCGAUACUGCGUGGCUAGAGUGCUGGAGAGGAGACUGGAAUUUACGGUGUAGCAGUGAAAUGCGUAGAUAUCGUAAGGAAGACCAGUGGCGAAGGCGGCGUACUGGAGAGCAACUGACACUCAACUGCGAAAGCGUGGGUAGCAAACAGG
rnacentral:rRNA from 1 species